rnacentral:lncRNA from 1 species
AUAAACAUUCAUCCAAAGAGACAUGAGUCAAAUAGAAACAACCUCAUUCAUUUAUACCAAAAGAGAGGUUACAAGAGUCAUAAUGAGCAUAAAGCUCUCAUACAUCCAAUCUACAAAAUAUAACUAAGUAAUCUAAUAUAAAAUGAUGAAAUCAAUGAGACUGGGCAUCGAGCACGAGAUCAAAAAAGGUGAGAUAUGAUCAACCUCAUCUUCGAUCGAAGGAUCUAGAUCGAAAGGAAGAUGUCGGAGGACGGAAAGCAAUAGGCUGAACAAAUGCUGGUAUCACUAGAUGCAGAGGGCCUAGACUGAAGCUGAGUCUUGAUGGCAUCAAGCUGGGACAAGAUUUCCCUCAUAGUAAGUCGGAGCCCAUCUAGAUCGGUAGAUACGAAGUCUCUGGAGUCUCUGAUGUCUGUCCGAAGUAGCUCAAGAGAGGAACGAAGAUGACUGUGGAGUCUCUCUAUCUCUUGAACCAGAUCAUCCAUCUGUGGUGAAAAAGAAGUCAAUGUGCCCACUCCAGCA